rfam:Ictidomys tridecemlineatus contig067079, whole genome shotgun sequence.
GGGGUUGUGGCUCAUCGGUAGAGCACCCAUCUCUCAUGUGCGAGACCCUGGGUUCGAUCCUCAGCACCA